UUCCGGUUGAUCCUGCCGGAGGCGACCGCUUUUGGAGUUCGAUUAAGCCAUGCGAGUAGAAAGAAAUUAGAUUCUUUGCGAACUGCUCAGUAACACGUGGAUAACCUGCCCUAUGCUCCGGAAUAACCUCGGGAAACUGAGAAUAAUACCGGAUAGAUCACAACGCCUGGAACGGUGUGUGGUUGAAAGAUUACGGCAUAGGAUGGGUCUGCGGCGUAUCAGGUUGUAGGGGGUGUAAAGGACCUCCUAGCCAUCGACGCGUACGGGUGUUGGGAGACAUAGCCCGGAGAUGGAUUCUGAGACACGGAUCCAGACCCUACGGGGUGCAGCAGGCGCGAAAACUUCACACUGCAGGAAACUGUGAUGAGGGAACUCCAAGUGCACGCACUUAGUGUGUGCUUUUUUCAACUAUUAAUCGGUUGAAGAAUAAGGGCUGGGAAAGACCGGUGCCAGCCGCCGCGGUAAUACCGGCAGCUCAAGUGGUCGUCGCUUUUAUUGGGCCUAAAACGUCCGUAGCCUGUUUGGUAAAUCUGUGGGUAAAUCAACCAGCUUAACUGGUUGAAUUCUGCAGAGACUGCCAGACUAGGGACCGGGAGAGGUGUGGGGUACUCUAGGGGUAGGGGUAAAAUCCUGUCAUCCUUAGAGGACCACCAGUUGCGAAGGCGCCACACUGGAACGGAUCCGACGGUCAGGGACGAAGCCUAGGGGCACGAACCGGAUUAGAUACCCGGGUAGUCCUAGGUGUAAACGCUGUGAACUUGGUGUCGGGGAUCCGUCAUGGGUCCCCGGUGCCGGAGUGAAGAUGUUAAGUUCACUGCCUGGGGAGUACGGUCGCAAGGCUGAAACUUAAAGGAAUUGGCGGGGGAGCACUGCAACGGGAGGAGCGUGCGGUUUAAUUGGAUCAACGCCGGA
rnacentral:rRNA from 1 species